rnacentral:rRNA from 1 species
GACGUAGGGCGCGAGCGUUGUCCGGAUUUAUUGGGCGUAAAGAGCUCGUAGGCGGCUUGUUGCGUCGGCUGUGAAAACCCGCGGCUUAACUGUGGGCUUGCGGUCGAUACGGGCAUCACUGGAGUUCGGCAGGGGAGACUGGAAUUCCUGGUGUAGCGGUGAAAUGCGCAGAUAUCAGGAGGAACACCGGUGGCGAAGGCGGGUCUCUGGGCCGAUACUGACGCUGAGGAGCGAAAGCGUGGGGAGCGAACAGG